rnacentral:lncRNA from 1 species
GAUGGGGGUGAAACCCGACCAGUACUCCAAGACGCGCAAGCAAGCGCCGAGCGGGGAACUCCGCGGGAAACCGGACCGGAACUCAAGUGUGCAGAGCUCUGCUUCGCUAGGAAUUCUUCUUCUCCAAAUGACUUACCUUUAAUGAGUGGGGGGUGCCCUCUAUUUAUAGGGGUUCUUAUGGGGGCAAUCUGGGCAUUUGGGCAGUAACCGCCUAACUGCCCAACUGAUCAGAUUGGGUCCAGGGGUCGACUUUCCAGAGAUCGACUUUCUGGGGGUCGACUUUUCCUUGUGAUCGACUUUACUCAAAAGUCGAUCCCAGGGAAGUCGAUCCU